GUGCAUGUGAUGAAUACUCAGGUUCCCAUUCAAGACAUAAUGGGGGAGCCCAAGUUUCUGAUGCU